rnacentral:misc_RNA from 1 species
UUGAUUUAUUUUUGCUUGUGCCACUCAGAGAGAAUACCACUGUAGAAAGCAAGAGUUUUGGGUCCCCGGCGGGCGCCUGGUUCCGGCGCGCAGAGGCGCCGGGGCGGUCCCGCCGAAGCAACGAUUGGUAAGGUUCACAUGGGUUUGGGAGUUGUAAACUCGGUAAUGAUCCCUCCGCUGGUUCACCAACGGAGA